rnacentral:rRNA from 1 species
GAUGAACGCUGGCGGCGUGCUUAACACAUGCAAGUCGAACGAAGCGCUUUUAUUUGAUUUCUUCGGAAUGAAGAUUUUAGUGACUGAGUGGCGGACGGGUGAGUAACGCGUGGGUAACCUGCCUCAUACAGGGGGAUAACAGUUAGAAAUGACUGCUAAUACCGCAUAAGACCACAGCACCGCAUGGUGCAGGGGUAAAAACUCCGGUGGUAUGAGAUGGACCCGCGUCUGAUUAGGUAGUUGGUGGGGUAACGGCCUACCAAGCCGACGAUCAGUAGCCGACCUGAGAGGGUGACCGGCCACAUUGGGACUGAGACACGGCCCAAACUCCUACGGGAGGCAGCAGUGGGGAAUAUUGCACAAUGGGGGAAACCCUGAUGCAGCGACGCCGCGUGAGCGAUGAAGUAUUUCGGUAUGUAAAGCUCUAUCAGCAGGGAAGAAAAUGACGGUACCUGACUAAGAAGCACCGGCUAAAUACGUG